rnacentral:rRNA from 1 species
UGUCCCGGGCUAAGUGUGUAGGGUGAGACGUAGGCAAAUCCGCGUCUUGUAUGCCUGAGACAUGAUGGCUGGGUGGGAUACGUCCCACCGAGUGAGUGAUCCUAUGCUGCCUAGAAAAUCUUCGUGAGCGAGUUUACAAGCCGCCCGUACCCCAAACCGACUCAGGUGGUUGGGUAGAGAAUACCAAGGCGAUCGAGAUAAUCGUGGUGAAGGAACUCGGCAAAAUGCCCCCGUAACUUCGGAAUAAGGGGGGCCUGACGCGUGAUGAUAUUUACUGUUUGAGCGCGGAGGGCCGCAGAGACCACGGGAAAGCGACUGUUUACUAAAAACACAGGUCCGUGCCAAGUCGCAAGACGAUGUAUACGGACUGACUCCUGCCCGGUGCUGGAAGGUUAAGGGGAAGUGUUAGCUUCGGCGAAGCACUGAACUUAAGCCCCAGUAAACGGCGGUGGUAACUAUAACCAUCCUAAGGUAGCGAAAUUCCUCGGGUAAGUUCCGACCUGCACGAAUGGAGUAACGACUUUCCCACUGUCUCCACCACGAACUCGGCGAAAUUGCACUACGAGUAAAGAUGCUCGUUACGCGCAGCAGGACGGAAAGACCCCGGGACCUUUACUAUAGUUUGGUAUUGGUGAUUGGGACAGCUUGUGUAGGAUAGGUGGGAGACUGUGAAGCAUUCACGCCAGUGAGUGUGGAGUCAACGUUGAAAUACCACUCUGGUUGUUCUAGUUAUCUAACCUAGGUCCGUUAUCCGGAUCAGGGACAGUGCCUGAUGGGUAGUUUGACUGGGGCGGUCGCCUCCUAAAAGGUAACGGAGGCGCCCAAAGGUUCCCUCAGCCUGGUUGGCAAUCAGGUUUCGAGUGUAAGUGCACAAGGGAGCUUGACUGUGAGAGAGACAUCUCAAGCAGGGACGAAAGUCGGGACUAGUGAUCUGACGGUGGCAUGUGGAAGCGCCGUCACUCAACGGAUAAAAGGUACCCCGGGGAUAACAGGCUGAUCUUGCCCGAGCGUCCAUAGCGACGGCAUGGUUUGGCACCUCGAUGUCGGCUCGUCGCAUCCUGGGGCUGGAGUCGGUCCCAAGGGUUGGGCUGUUCGCCCAUUAAAGCGGCACGCGAGCUGGGUUUAGAACGUCGUGAGACAGUUCGGUCCCUAUCCGCUGCGCGCGUAGGAGUCUUGAGAAGAGCUGUCCUUAGUACGAGAGGACCGGGACGGACUAACCUCUGGUGUGCCAGUUGUCCUGCCAAGGGCACGGCUGGUUGGCUACGUUGGGAAGUGAUAACCGCUGAAAGCAUCUAAGCGGGAAGCACGCUUCAAGAUGAGGGCUCCCACACAUUUUGUGGUAAGGACCCCGGAAGACCACCGGGUGAUAGGUCGGAUGUGGAAGUACAGCAAUGUAUGGAGCUGACCGAUACUAAUAGUCCGAGGGCUUGUCU